GACGAACGCUGGCGGCGUGCCUAAUACAUGCAAGUUGAGCGAUGAAGAUUGGUGCUUGCACCAAUUUGAAUAGCAGCGAACGGGUGAGUAACGCGUGGGGAAUCUGCCUUUGAGCGGGGGACAACAUUUGGAAACGAAUGCUAAUACCGCAUAACAACUUUAAACAUAAGUUUUAAGUUUGAAAGAUGCAAUUGCAUCACUCAAAGAUGAUCCCGCGUGGUAUUAGCUAGUUGGUAAGGUAAAGGCUUACCAAGGCGAGGAUACAUAGCCGACCUGAGAGGGGGACGGGCAAAAUGGGAAUGGGGAAACGCCCCAAACUCUUAGGGAAGGAAGAGGAAGGAAUCUUCGGGAAAGGACCAAAGGCUGGACGGAGAAAGGCGGGUGAGGGAAGAAGGGUUUCCGGUUGGAAAAACUUGUUGGUAGGGAAGAAAGAUGGGGAGAAUUGACUGUGCAUCAAGUGACGGUACCUACUCAGAAAGGGACGGCUAACUACGUG
rnacentral:rRNA from 1 species